UACGUAGGGGGCAAGCGUUGUCCGGAAUUAUUGGGCGUAAAGAGCGUGUAGGCGGCCAUGUAGGUCCGUUGUGAAAACUCGAGGCUCAACCUCGAGACGCCGAUGGAAACCAUGUGGCUAGAGUCCGGAAGAGGAGAGUGGAAUUCCUGGUGUAGCGGUGGAAUGCGCAGAUAUCAGGAGGAACACCGGUGGCGAAGGCGGGAUCCUGGGCCAGUACUGACGCUGAGGAGCGAAAGCGUGGGGAGCAAACAGG
rnacentral:rRNA from 1 species